rnacentral:rRNA from 1 species
UACAGAGGUCUCAAGCGUUGUUCGGAUUCAUUGGGCGCAAAGGGUGCGUAGGCGGCGCGGUAAGUCGGGUGUGAAAUCUCGGAGCUUAACUCCGAAACUGCAUUCGAUACUGCCGUGCUUGAGGACUGGAGAGGAGACUGGAAUUUACGGUGUAGCGGUGAAAUGCGUAGAUAUCGUAAGGAAGACCAGUGGCGAAGGCGGGGCUCUGGACAGUUCCUGACGCUGAGGCACGAAGGUCAGGGGAGCAAACGGG